CCUACGGGUGGCAGCAGUGGGGAAUAUUGGACAAUGGGGGGAACCCUGAUCCAGCCAUGCCGCGUGUGUGAAGAAGGCCCUCGGGUUGUAAAGCACUUUCAGUGAGGAACAACGCCUGGUGGUUAAUACCCAUCAGGAAAGACAUCACUCACAGAAGAAGCACCGGCUAACUCCGUGCCAGCAGCCGCGGUAAUACGGAGGGUGCGAGCGUUAAUCGGAAUUACUGGGCGUAAAGCGCGCGUAGGUGGCUUGAUAAGCCGGUUGUGAAAGCCCCGGGCUCAACCUGGGAACGGCAUCCGGAACUGUCAAGCUAGAGUGCAGGAGAGGAAGGUAGAAUUGCCGGUGUAGCGGUGAAAUGCGUAGAGAUCGGGAGGAAUACCAGUGGCGAAGGCGGCCUUCUGGACUGACACUGACACUGAGGUGCGAAAGCGUGGGUAGCAAACAGGAUUAGAUACCCGAGUAGUC
rnacentral:rRNA from 1 species